CCAACACAUCGCAGUGCCCAUUUGGAGAAGAAGAAGAUAGUCGCGGUCAUGGCGCUUACCAAGACCAACGCAACAAGGACGAUCGUCCUCUUGGCCGCCCUUGCCGUCAUGGCCACUCACCUGAUGUCCUCCGCCGACGCACUAGGUUAGUUAGUUAAGCUCCUCCUUUCACACCAAUCUUCUGAAAUCUUACGUUGAAGCAAAUCUCUGGACGUACGUACGUGCAGGCUGCUAUCCGAUCAACGACUGCCGUCCGAACAGCAACGGGGGAGUGAAGUGCGCGCGCAUGUGCGCCUUGCUGAAUGGUCCUUCCGGCAAGUCCUACUGCGACGGCACCACCCAGUGCUGCUGCGCGCCACCCGGCGGCAGGACGACGGACCUCCUGCCGACGAGCGCGCCUCUUCGGACCUCGGACGCUGCUGCCACCUGCUCCAUGAUGAUGAUAGUGAUAGUAGUGAUAUCUUUGUUUCUUCUGAACUAGCACACGUUUCGGUGGUGAUAGUGUUGCUUGCUCGAGAGAGAUGUGUUAUCUGCUGCCGAGACUGUUAUGAUCGUGUUUUCUGCGUGUGGUCUGGAACCAUGAAAUUCAGAAGAAAACAAAUACUGUUUUGCGCUUGAAUGCC
rnacentral:lncRNA from 1 species